UAAUAUUUAUACAUUUUAAUUCUGACACUAUGAAUAUUUUAUUCACAUGUAUGUGCACAUCGAUUUUAUAUUAUCUUUUCUUUCACAUUUGUAAAGCGCUUUAGAGAACUAAUGUUGAGAGGGCGCUAUAUAAAUCUUUUAAUUACAAUUUCAAUUACAGCUGCCAAAGUUUUCGUGAACCGCAGAUAUUAAAAUAUGAAUAUCUGCUUAUUUGCCGUUCACCUGAUUCAGGUUUUAUCUAUUUAGUACGUGUAUAGAUUGUGUCAUCUUGAACAAACAAUGUCAAUCACAAUUAUGAAGUACACACGGUCAUAUAGCAAGCAUUUGUGGAGAUUGUACUCUGAAUUUGUCCCGGGUUUGUGUACACAUGAUAUGAUAACACUCACGUGAUCUGUCAUAAAUGAGGAGGGUAGAUAGGAAGGUGAUUACGAGUUAUACUGACUUCAUUCACUCUAGAUCUCUACACGUCACGAUCAGCAUCCUACAUUAAACCGGCCAAACCACGCGGGGAUAACAUUGCAGCUUUUAGAGAGGACACGCUUCAGAUCUCUACACGUCACGAUCAACAUCCUACAUUAAACUGGCCAAACUACUCAGGGAUGUAGUUCUGCAUUAACUAAUCGCCACAGGAACAUUACAGCUUUUAGAAAGGACACGUUUCAGAUAAAUUGAUUUUUAGCAAUAAAGUUGGUCAUCUUUCAGACACCCUGACACGUAUACUGCAAGACUGUUCGAAAAUUUUCAUAGCGGACUGUUGAAAAUAUAUAUAAUGUUAGUCAGAAACGUCUAAAAAAGCAAUAAGAUGAGUAAUAUCCAAUCUAUUCCUUUUUUUUCAAUGUAGUUUAUUGUAAAGAAAAGUGGAUUUUUAAUUCAUUUCACGUUAUAGCUUGCAGACUUCAACUCAUAUAUGGAAUUCGUGUGAUCAUUUUAUCGCACAUUUCAUUGCAAAUGUUAUUCACAGGUACUUGAUGUCAAUUGUUUAACGUUGGUUAUGUGGCAAUCGCUAUUCACGCCAAAUCCAGGAAAAUGCAUGAAAUUGAUAUAAAAUGUUCACUUGAAUUUCCCGUGAGUCGCCUUUGUAGUUGUGUUAUCUGGUUGAGAUUUGAAAUCACAUUAAUCCAUUUUUAUCAAAUUAGUGUGCAUGUUCGCAUCUUGUCGCACAUUACAAUUUAAAUAUUUUCACACGUUAACCGUGCGCAAUGUGUUGUUGUGCAUAUGUCGUUUUGAAAAUUAUUUUGAACACAUUAUUGAUAGAUAAAAUCAAAGAUAACAAGAUUAACUCAUAGUGAAAA